CAGGACGGACUAGAGGCGAGCAAUCCCGGUGGCACCAGGCAUUCCCCGACCCGCCCGGGUCGCCAGCUGCACGGACCCUGGGCAGAUGCGCGCAGCGGCUGCGGCACAGGGCGGGGAGCGGCUGCUCGGCCCCAUCCUAAGGCAGUAGAAUGCCCAGAGCUGGUCCCUGGCUCCGGGCGCAGGCCGAGUAGGAGCUGGGCGGGCAGCCGCGUCGGGCAGGCCCUUCCAGCCGGGCUGACAGGCCGCUCUGACCCAGCCAUCAGACUCCGCUUGCGUCCUGGCAGUGCGGACCCUAGGGCAACUUUGCUGCAGUGGCCAAGCCGGGGGCGGAACUGGCCCGUACCCCUGAACCGAGCAAGCCUAGGAGCAGGUGCGCCGGCGGCGCUGUGAAGCGGCACUCAGGCAGGCUGGGCGCCGCCACCCCGAAACCUCCAAGGGAGGACCAGCCAGCCCAGGUUGGCGCUGGAGCUGCAGCGCCACCUGCAGGCCAAGGAGUCUUUUUCUGGGAGGCUGGAGCUGCAGCGCCACCUGCAGGCCAAGGAGUCUUUUUCUGGGAGGCUGGAGCUGCAGCGCCACCUGCAGGCCAAGGAGUCUUUUUCUGGGAGGCUGGAGCGGCAGUUGCAGUGAAGUCACAGGUUCCGUGACGUCACAGCAUUCAGCAACUAGUUCCUGAAUAUAAGGAAAAACAGACACCUGAAAGUCUUCCUCAAAAUAACAAUCCAGAAUACAGACAUUUAAAAAUACUGUUGGGGCCAGCACAGUGGUGCAUGCCUGUAAUCUCACCACUUUGGGGGGCUGAGAUGGGAGGAUCACUUGAGGCCAGAAGUUCGAGACCAGCCCGGGCAACAUGACAAGACCUCAUCUCAACUAAAUUUUUUAAAAAACAAUAAAACAUUAGCUGGGCAUGGUGCCAGGUGCCUGUACUUCCAG
rnacentral:sRNA from 1 species